rnacentral:rRNA from 1 species
AGUCAAUAGAUACCCUGGUAGUCCAUGCCGUAAACGAUGAUUGCUAGGUGUGGGGGGUCUGACCCCUUCCGUGCCGGAGUUAAACACAAUAAGCAAUCCACCUGGGGAGUACGGCCGCAAGGUUGAAACUCAAAGGAAUUGACGGGGGCCCGCACAAGCAGUGGAGUAUGUGGUUUAAAUUCGAAGCAACGCGAAGAACCUUACCAGGUCUUGACAUCCACCGAAUCCUGUAGAGAUACGGGAGUGCCCUUCGGGGAACGGUGAGACAGGUGGUGCAUGGUUGUCGUCAGCUCGUGUCGUGAGAUGUUGGGUUAAGUCCCGCAACGAGCGCAACCCUUGUGAAUAGCUGCUACGAAAGAGCACUCUAUUCAGACCGCCGUUGACAAAACGGAGGAAGGUGGGGAUGACGUCAAAUCAUCAUGCCCCUUAUGACCUGGGCUACACACGUACUACAAUGGCCGUUAACAGAGGGAUGCAAUGCCGCGAAGUGGAGCGAACCCCUAAAAACGGUCUCAGUUCAGAUUGCAGGCUGAAACUCGCCU